ensembl:miRNA Gm55388 predicted gene, 25109
UUAACAAAGAUGGUGCACGGACUGCUCUUUAAAAGGCUGUUAAAUGGCGAUCCUAUAUAUUUUAACAUCAACAUCAUUUAGAAACCUUUUAGAGACAGUCUCUUCAGCCACUGC